GUGAUCAAAGUGGAAAGUGGCUAAAAUUGAAGCCUGAGUACAUUCAAGCUGGCACUGAUCUGGAUGUGCUUAUCAUAGGAGGUUAUUAUGGCUCUGGACGAUGUGGAGGGGAGGUUGCUCAGUUCUUGGUGGGCCUUGCUGAGCGUCCAUCCCCAAAUACACAUCCCAAGCGGU